UACGUAGGGGGCAAGCGUUGUCCGGAAUCAUUGGGCGUAAAGAGCGUGUAGGCGGUCCGGUCAGUCGGUUGUGAAAGUCAAGGGCUCAACCCUUGAAUGCCGGCCGAUACUGCCGGGCGUAGAGUCCGGAAGAGGUGAGUGGAAUUCCUGGUGUAGCGGUGAAAUGCGCAGAUAUCAGGAGGAACACCGAUGGCGAAGGCAGCUCACUGGGACGGUACUGACGCUGAGACGCGAAAGCGUGGGGAGCAAACAGG
rnacentral:rRNA from 1 species